UUUUAAUGUCAACAAUCAUAGAACUAUUUUUGAAAUCGUAUAGUUUUCACAGUUUUAAAAAUUGCACAAAAAGAGUGCUCCGGUGAUUACUUAUACAAUAUUUGUUAUUCAUAAAGGACCUACAAGCCAUAAUACUCUGAGGAAAGAGGUAGCUUGUAAUUUCAGUUGAAUCAAACUGACCAAAUGUUGCUGGAAACCCGGAGAAGCGUCUAAUUGGACGCAUAGAUACUGUUUUCAACAUAACCUGAUUGGUACAUUAAAAAACAGAUCGGCAAUUGGCUCCCCUCUACUACGAAACACAGGCUGUAAGAAGAAGUUUAAAAGUUAUUGAAUUUAAAAAUAAUAUAUUGUGAGCUGUAUUUUUU